UUGGAAAUGUUAUUUCUUGUUUAUUCUAAUUGCAAACCACACACAUCCAUUCGUAAUCACUCGUACACUUUUGAUACCAUUGGUAUCAAAGACUGUCAUUUCGUUUAUUUGUUGUUGCCUAGCAACUCUGGGAACAACAGAGCAAAGAUUCUAGAACAGAGCUUCAGAGAGACGUUUUGAGUUCGUGGCCAAGUGCCUAAAAUAUCGGUUUCCAUGUGUAUGUGCUGGAUGGUGUGCGUCCUUUAUGAAAGUGUUCCUACCUUGAUGGUGAUUCGGACGUCUAUGAGGGCCCCAGUGAUGGUGAGGAGGGCCGAGUCCUGUGCCAGGGGCCUCAGCUCCCAGUCCUGGAAGGGCAUGUUGGCGUACAUGUCCUGCAUGAGCGUGAAGGCGUAGAAGGCGUCCAUGUUGAAGGAGACCCUCCUGGCCUCUGCUUCGUACGACACAUCGCUGAUGCAGUCUGUUUUCCAGUGCUGGUCUGGAGCAGGGAGAGUUGUCAUAGAGACAUUAGAGAGACGCCUGAUCACAGUUCCUGCACUGUUUUUUUUUUCUGUUUUUUUUUUUUAAUGGUCACAGCAGUAAAGGCUUUUUCAUAAA